rnacentral:lncRNA from 1 species
UCCAUCACCGCCCAAAUUGUCCAACCCCAUUCUCUCCAAUUCCAUACGUAAACCAUCUCCACACUCAACCAAUUCUAACCACAAACACCUCUCAAAAACCACGGCACCAUCUUCAUUUCCUUUCCACUUCACAUCUCAAACCACAACUGCAUUUCAUUCUGCCUUGCUAGUGUCGACAAACCGAGAGAGCGAGAGAGAGGCCGAGCUGCACUCUGCAGCCGAGUGGAAGAAAAGAAACCGCAGGAUUGAAUGUUUUUGGUUCUGGCCGUGAGUUGGAGUGAAACCAGGGAGAGCAAGUGGAAGUCGGAGGAGCUGCUGAUCAUCACCAUUUUCGUUCACUUCAGACCAACAUUUCCCAGCUGCAACCAUCUUCACCACAACACCAUUUCCAGCUGCAAAUCGAACCAGGACCAACCAGUGUGCGUGAGAGCCGAGAGGGAGCAGAAAUUUUCCAGAUUUUCUUGCGUGAGCUUAGCUUGCUGUGAGGUAAUUUCUGGAUUCAUUUUAUGACUAAUCAGAGAUAGUUUGAGCUAUCUAGGGGCAUGCAUGUACUACGGUACAGUCGGA